rnacentral:rRNA from 1 species
UGCAUGCGCGCUACCAUGCAGUCGUACGCGGGGUUCUCCUUCGGGAGGACUGCCGAGUGGCGAACGGGUGCGUAACGCGUAGGUAACCUGCCCUCGAGUGGGGGAUAACCCCGGGAAACCGGGGCUAAUACCGCAUAUUGUCCCGGGACCGCAUGGCCCCGGGAUGAAAGCCCUCUGGGCGCUCGAGGAUGGGCCUGCGUCGGAUUAGCUAGUUGGUGGGGUAACGGCCCACCAAGGCGACGAUCCGUAGCUGGUCUGAGAGGACGACCAGCCACACUGGCACUGAGACACGGGCCAGACUCCUACGGGAGGCAGCAGUGGGGAAUCUUGGGCAAUGGGCGAAAGCCUGACCCAGCCACGCCGCGUGGAGGAUGAAGCCCUUCGGGGUGUAAACUCCUUUUCUGGGGGAAGAAAUCCCGGCUAUGGUCGGGACUGACGGUACCCCAGGAAUAAGCGCCGGCUAACUCCGUGCCAGCAGCCGCGGUAAUACGGAGGGCGCAAGCGUUGCCCGGAAUCACUGGGUGUAAAGGGUGCGUAGGCGGGGCUGUAAGUCAGAGGUGAAAGCCUCCGGCUCAACCGGAGAAUUGCCUCUGAUACUGCAGCUCUUGAGUCCCGGAGAGGCCGCUGGAAUUCCUGGUGUAGCGGUGAAAUGCGUAGAUAUCAGGAGGAACACCGGAGGCGAAGGCGGGCGGCUGGACGGGAACUGACGCUGAGGCACGAAAGCGUGGGGAGCAAACAGGAUUAGAUACCCUGGAAGUCCACGCC